rnacentral:rRNA from 1 species
CUACGGGAGGCUGCAGUGGGGAAUAUUGCGCAAUGGGCGAAAGCCUGACGCAGCAACGCCGUGUGAGGGAUGAAGGCUUUCGGGUCGUAAACCUCUGUCGGAAGGGAAGAACGGGCAAGGGUCCAAUAGGCCCUUGUUUUGACGGUACCUUUAGAGGAAGCACCGGCUACCUCCGUGCCAGCAGCCGCGGUAAUACGGAGGGUGCGGGCGUUAUUCGGAAUUACUGGGCGUAAAGCGCACGUAGGCCGCUUUGUAAGUCAGGGGUGAAAUCCCACGGCUCAACCGUGGAACUGCCCUUGAAACUGCAGAGCUUGAAUCCUGGAGAGGGUGGCGGAAUUCCUGGUGUAGGAGUGAAAUCCGUAGAUAUCAGGAGGAACACCGGUGGCGAAGGCGGCCACCUGGACAGGUAUUGACGCUGAGGUGCGAAAGUGUGGGGAGCAAACAGGAUUAGAUACCCGAGUAGUC